rnacentral:rRNA from 1 species
UACGUAGGGGGCAAGCGUUGUCCGGAAUUACUGGGCGUAAAGCGCGUGUAGGCGGCUAAGUAAGUCGGGCGUGAAAUCCCACGGCUCAACCGUGGAAGUGCACUCGAAACUGCAUAGCUAGAGUCCUGGAGAGGAAGGUGGAAUGCUUGGUGUAGAGGUGAAAUUCGUAGAUAUCAAGCGGAACACCGGUGGCGAAGGCGGCCUUCUGGACAGUGACUGACGCUGAGACGGCGAAAGCGUGGGGAGCAAACA